AAAAGUUUAAUACACGCUCUUUGAACUACUAAAAAGUAAAACUCAAUUUUAAAUUAUUGCAAAAUGAAUCGUUGGUUGCGUCAGUUAAUGAUAGGUUGCUUCUCAAGACCAGUUUUUAAGAAACAGAACGAAGACCCGAAAUGUAUCCUUACCGAAAAAAAUGGAACAUCGUCAAAAACAUAUGCCAAAAGGAGAGUUUCAAUUUUAGAAAGAUUCAGAUCUUAUGAAGUAAGGUGUAAAAUAAGCUGCGGUUUCAAAGUGAAGGUGAAUUCUGAGUAUACACGUUUCGUCGAAGAUAUUCGUGAGGUACGCCAAGAACUUGAAAGCUAUUGGUUCAAAGAAAGUGACUUAAUGAAAGAACGUGGUACGAGAUGUCCGGAUAAUCGGCCCCGGAUUUGCGUAUGUACUUGCGAAAAGCGACGAUCGAAUCCUCAAGUUAGCAUUGAUUCCGACAACAGUGGUAUUUCGUGGGUUUUUCGUUCUGAAAAUAACGUCCGUCAGGUAACGGAAGAAUCUUAUAGGAGAAUACAACAGUUUCUUGCAUUGUAAGAAUAGAUUUAAAUGUUUUUAGUGCAAA